rnacentral:rRNA from 1 species
UCGACCCUACGGGGGGCAGCAGUCGGGAAUAUUGCGCAAUGGAGGAAACUCUGACGCAGUGACGCCGCGUAUAGGAAGAAGGUUUUCGGAUUGUAAACUAUUGUCGUUAGGGAAGAUAAAAGACUGUACCUAAGGAGGAAGCCCCGGCUAACUAUGUGCCAGCAGCCGCGGUAAUACGUAGGGUGCAAGCGUUAUCCGGAUUUAUUGGGCGUAAAGGGCUCGUAGGCGGUUCGUCGCGUCCGGUGUGAAAGUCCAUCGCUUAACGGUGGAUCCGCGCCGGGGACGGGCGGGCUUGAGUGCGGUAG